rnacentral:misc_RNA from 1 species
AUGAGAUUGAGAAAUAAGGAAUUUUUAUGGCAUCACCAGAAAAAAGAAAAGUUUGUAUAAUGGUGCCGUACAAAGAAAUUAGAUUGCACGAAAAGAAUCCUUCAAACAUUAGUUCGUGAAGGAGUAAACAAAGACAAAUGAUGAUUAACGAGAAACGUUCAAUGACUUAAGCAGGCACCAAAAUCCAAGCACUAUCCAAUAUGUGCAAAAACAAAGAAAGACAUAUGGUCGCAAUAACAGAGGAUCUUGCAGUAAUGUAUCUCACAACUCCAAGCCCACUGUCAACAAUUGCUUCAUGAACUGCAUAAACACAUCUUUUUAUUCCAUCAUAAAGUCUCUCCAGCAAAAACUCCAAGAAAGAUCUAACUGUCUCAAAUGUAAUCCUCCCAGUCACAUCAAGAAUAAACCUUCUAUUGCUUGGUACUGCUAAAGUAGAUGACACUUUUCUAAACCAUCCACCAUCCUCAGCUUCAUCAAACGACUUUCUUGCUUUCGAUUGGCUUGUAGAUUCUUCAUUCUCUGAUGAACCUUCCUGUUUAUCAAUGGCUAACUUUGGAGAUUCCAGCCUUGAAUUUGCUUCAGAAUCAGCACUUGUCAAGACUUGAUGAGAUGUCUUGACAAGAGUCUCAAUAGCACCAUUGCAUACAUCAACUAAUACAUCUCUCACUUUAUUUUCGUGAUUGGGAUUUGUCAAUCCUGCAAAGAUUUCAUCAUAGGUGUUGAUGUGCAUAGUCUUGUCAAGAUAAACAGCAACUGCAGUGCUCACAAAUAACUGAAUACAAUCACCUAUAAGUGCUUUACACUUGUGGCUACAAACCACGUCCACCAAUUCUGUGGCAGAAUUCAUUUCCAAACCAAAAUGAUUACUGGUGAUAGGACCAUUCAAUUCUGAAUUUGAAUUCAUAUCUCUACCACUAGAUGCUCCAUCUUGAUACAAGGCCAUGACCAAGUUCCUAGCAAAGCUUCCAACAACAACAGAAACAAAACCAGACCCAGCUGAAGUAGAAAGCUUAUCAAAAACCUUAUCCAAGAAACUUGGAUUGGUGUUGGCGCUGGCAUCGUGAUUAAUUCUUGCACUGGAUUGAUAACCUCGCAAAAUUCCCAAAAUUAAAGCUUGCGUAAAGCUAAUUACAGAUUCUGAAAACUCAGAUGACCUCGCAACUUUGGAAAUUUGCUUGACACUAUUGGGAAUUUGGUCCGACUCUGACUGCAGAAAAUCUUUCAAAUCCUUGGAGAUGACUCCAACUGUUUCAGCAGAAUCAGAAAUAACUUCUGCUAUAGAAAUUAAAGCCCCUAAAAGCUUAGAAAGUCGUUUUCUUUUUCGAGCAAUUGAGGGUAAGUUAUAAACUCUACAGGCAGCGUAAGUAGAGAAACCAAGGGAAGCCAACAAAACAAACAAUCGCUUCCUUUUCCAGCUAUAAUCAAGAAGACCCUUUUUCACCGAUUGCAGGUCCAUGUUAUCCAAAAUCAAAUCAAAUCAAAAGAACCCAAUUGCAGUGUCUAUUUUAUAUUCUUGCCAUUGGCAUAGAACUAAGAAGAUAAUCUUGAAGUCAAUCAAUGCAAGUGUUCAAGCUGUACAAGCAAAGAAACUGUUAAAGACUCAAGAAUUCGUAUCUUUAUUGUUUCUUUUCUUCUCUUCUUAUCUUCUUAUCCAUAAAAGGAAAACAGAAAUUAUUUGAAAUCGCAUGUGAUGACUAGGAUUAAUUAAAAUGCGUCAGUAUCAAGAAUCGAGGAAGAUGGAGGAGAGAUAGAGAGAAACCUGAGAGAGAGAGAGAAAUGACGUAAGGGCGGCUGCAGAGGAAAGUGGCGUCUCGUGCAGGGAAGAGAAUGAAGGCGUCACGUAGUGUAUGGGCGUGUAGAUGCAAUUCAUUCUCCAGGUUCUGGAUGGAAGCAGAGAAACGAUCAACUUCAAAAUUCUACAGCCACUAGGAAAUCUAAUUUAUAUUUAUAGCAAGCUCAACAUUUAGUCCUCGUGGGCUCAUUGCCAG